AACCUAGCACACCUGCGGUGUGUACCUGCGGAGGGAUCAUUAACCUUUCAAAUCAGGGUGCGGCGCGGCCCCCGAGGAGCGGAAACAAUCCUUGGGAGGUAUGCGGGGGCUUCGAGCCCCCCAUUUACGCACGCAUGACUGCCAUCCUUACUUUACGAGCACCUUCUGUUCUCCCUCGGCGGGGCAACCUGCCGUUGGAACCGAAUAAACUCUUUUUGCAUCUAGCAUUACCUGUUCCGA
rnacentral:misc_RNA from 1 species